AUUGAACGCUGGCGGCAGGCCUAACACAUGCAAGUCGAGCGGAGCGUCAGACGGGUGCGUAAUGCCUAGGAAUCUGCCUGGUAGUGGGGGGUGACGUCCGGCAACGGGCGCUAAUACCGCAUACUAUCAGAUGAGCCUAGGUGGGAUUAGCUAGUUGGUGGGGUAAAGGCCUACAAAGGCGACGAGCCGUAACUGGUCUGAGAGGAUGAUCAGUCACACUGGACCUGAGACACGGUCCAGAAUCCUACGGGAGGAAGAAGUGGGGAAUAUUGGCCAAUGGGCGAAAGCCUGCUCCAGCCCUGCCGCGGGUGUGAAGAAGGUCUUCGGAUUGUAAAGCACUUUAAGUUGGGAGGCGUUACCAGCAGAAUAAGCACCGGCUAACUUCGUGCCAGCAGCCGCGGUAAUAC
rnacentral:rRNA from 1 species